rnacentral:rRNA from 1 species
AUUGAACGCUGGCGGCAGGCCUAACACAUGCAAGUCGAGCGGAUGAGGGGAACUUGCCCUUGGUUUCCGAGGGGGACGGGUGGGAAUUGCCUAGGAAUCUGCUUGGUGGUGGGGGAUAACGUCCGGAAACGGGCGCUACUACCGCAUAGUUCCUGGGGGGGAAGGUGGGGAAUCUUGGAACCUCACGCUAUCAGCUGAGCCUAGGCCGGCUUAGCUAUUUGGGGGGGUAAAGGCGGACCCAGGCGACGAUCCGUAACUGGUCUGAGAGGAGUAGCAGUCACACUGGAACUGAGACACGGUCCAGACUCCUACGGGAGGCAGCAGUGGGGAAUAUUGGACAAUGGGCGAAAGCCUGAUCCAGCCAUGCCGCGUGGUGGAAGAAGGUCUUCGGAGUGUAAAGCACUUUAAGUUGGGAGGAAGGGUAGUAAGUUAAUACCUUGCUGUUUUGACGUUACCAACAGAAGAAGCACCGGCUAACUUCGUG